rnacentral:rRNA from 1 species
UACGUAGGCAGCAAGCGUUGUCCGGAAUUACUGGGCGUAAAGAGCGUGUAGGCGGUAGAGUAAGUCUGUAGUGAAAGCGCAUGGCUCAACCGUGGAGGGUCAUUGGAAACUGGGGAACUUGAGUGCAGAAGAGGAAAGUGGAAUUCCAAGUGUAGCGGUGAAAUGCGUAGAGAUUUGGAGGAACACCAGUGGCGAAGGCGACUUUCUGGUCUGUAACUGACACUGAGGCGCGAAAGCGUGGGGAGCAAACAGG